rnacentral:rRNA from 1 species
CACGUAGUUAGCCGUGGCUUUCUGAUUAGGUACCGUCAAGAUGUGCACAGUUACUUACACAUUUGUUCUUCCCUAAUAACAGAGUUUUACGAGCCGAAACCCUUCAUCACUCACGCGGCGUUGCUCCGUCAGGCUUUCGCCCAUUGUGGAAGAUUCCCUACUGCUGCCUCCCGUAGGAGUCUGGACCGUGUCUCAGUUCCAGUGUGGCCGAUCACCCUCUCAGGUCGGCUACGUAUCGUCGCCUUGGUAAGCCGUUACCUUACCAACUAGCUAAUACGGCGCGGGUCCAUCUAUAAGUGAUAGCAAAACCAUCUUUCACUUUAGAACCAUGCGGUUCUAAAUGUUAUCCGGUAUUAGCUCCGGUUUCCCGAAGUUAUCCCAGUCUUAUAGGUAGGUUACCCACGUGUUACUCACCCGUCCGCCGCUAACUUCAAAGGAGCAAGCUCCUUAUCUGUUCGCUCGACUUGCAUGUAUUAGGCACGCCGCCAGCGUUCAUCCUGAGCCAGGAUCAAACUCU